GUAUUAAUUGCGUGUGAUCGCAAAGAAAGACAUUCUACACUGUAUCGAGUUUGUGUGAAAACGUGAGCACCCCCCCCUCCGAGGAAGGGAGGACACACGCGGUGAUGCACAAAGGGGUAAGAUGGAUAUUUGUAUGUGAGAGGACUCGGGCGUGCACGACAAAAAAAAGCCAGCGACAACCCUCGUACCCCCAUUGUACGAUAAUGAUCCUUCCGCAGGUUCACCUACGGAAA
rnacentral:misc_RNA from 1 species